AUUACAUUGGAUGCUGAGUAUAAGUUAUAUGGUUUGAAAUGAAUUGGUGUGUUAUGUGUUUUAUGUAUUUUAUUGUCCAUUGUGUAGGAGUUUAACUAGCGGAGUGAUUUGCAUAUCAUUAACGCAAGCAUUUAGUGUUUUUACAAAAGGUGAAAUGCUGUCCAGCCGGCUAGAAUGAAACAAUUGUAUGCUAUCGCUCCUGGAGCAAGAAAAGCGCUUGUUACGUCCCACGUGAAAGGG